GAAAUGCGAUAAGUAAUGUGAAUUGCAGAAUUCAGUGAAUCAUCGAAUCUUUGAACGCACCUUGCGCUCCUUGGUAUUCCUUGGAGCAUGCCUGUUUGAGUAUCAUCAAAUCUUCAAAGUAAAUCUUUUGUUAACUCAAUUGGUUUCUACUUUGGUAUUGGAGGUCUUUGCAGCUUCACACCUGCUCCUCUUUGUUCAUUAGCUGGAUCUCAGUGUUAUGCUUGGUUCCACUCGGCGUGAUAAGUUAUCUAUCGCUGAGGACACUGUAAAAGGUGGCCAAGGUAAAUGCAGAUGAACCGCUUCUAAUAGUCCAUUGACUUGGACAAUACUUUUAUGAUCUGAUCUCAAAUCAGGUAGGACUACCCGCUGAACUUAAGC
rnacentral:misc_RNA from 1 species